GACGAACGCUGGCGGCGUGCUUAACACAUGCAAGUCGAACGGAAAGGCCCUGCUUUUGUGGGGUGCUCGAGUGGCGAACGGGUGAGUAACACGUGAGUAACCUGCCCUUGACUUUGGGAUAACUUCAGGAAACUGGGGCUAAUACCGGAUAGGAGCUCCUGCUGCAUGGUGGGCGUUGGAAAGUUUCGGCGGUUGGGGAUGGACUCGCGGCUUAUCAGCUUGUUGGUGGGGUAGUGGCUUACCAAGGCUUUGACGGGUAGCCGGCCUGAGAGGGUGACCGGCCACAUGGGGACUGAGAUACGGCGCAGACUCCUACGGGAGGCAGCAGUGGGGAAUAUUGCACAAUGGGCGGAAGCCUGAUGCAGCAACGCCGCGUGCGGGAUGACGGCCUUCGGGUUGUAAACCGCUUUCGCCUGUGACGAAGCGUGAGUGACGGUAAUGGGUAAAGAAGCACCGGCUAACUACGUG
rnacentral:rRNA from 1 species